rnacentral:rRNA from 1 species
GAGUAACGCGUGAGGAACCUGCCUCAAAGAGGGGGACAACAGUUGGAAACGACUGCUAAUACCGCAUAAGCCCACGACCCGGCAUCGGGUAGAGGGAAAAGGAGCAAUCCGCUUUGAGAUGGCCUCGCGUCCGAUUAGCUAGUUGGUGAGGUAACGGCCCACCAAGGCGACGAUCGGUAGCCGGACUGAGAGGUUGAACGGCCACAUUGGGACUGAGACACGGCCCAGACUCCUACGGGAGGCAGCAGUGGGGAAUAUUGCACAAUGGGGGAAACCCUGAUGCAGCGACGCCGCGUGGAGGAAGAAGGUCUUCGGAUUGUAAACUCCUGUUGUUGAGGAAGAUAAUGACGGUACUCAACAAGGAAGUGACGGCUAACUACGUGCCAGCAGCCGCGGUAAAACGUAGGUCACAAGCGUUGUCCGGAAUUACUGGGUGUAAAGGGAGCGCAGGCGGGAAGACAAGUUGGAAGUGAAAUCCAUGGGCUCAACCCAUGAACUGCUUUCAAAACUGUUUUUCUUGAGUAGUGCAGAGGUAGGCGGAAUUCCCGGUGUAGCGGUGGAAUGCGUAGAUAUCGGGAGGAAUACCAGUGGCGAAGGCGGCCUACUGGGCACCAACUGACGCUGAGGCUCGAAAGUGUGGGUAGCAAACAGGAUUAGAUACCCUGGUAGUCCACACUGUAAACGAUGAUUACUAGGUGUUGGAGGAUUGACCCCUUCAGUGCCGCAG